rfam:Myotis lucifugus cont2.48139, whole genome shotgun sequence.
CAUGGGGGGUGGGGGUCCCUCAGCCCGGAUUGUGAGAGGGUGCAGGCCAGGCCGAGGGACCCCAUCGGUGCACC